GAAGAUCCACGCUGAUAUAAUGUUUUCGUGUGGACAAUGUUCAAAAACGUAUACGCGUCAAGACAUCCUUACAAGAUAUAUUAAAACGUUUCACGAAAGGAUAUAAGUAGCUUCGCGAUAUUAGCUACGAAUAUACCUGCUACUCAUUCAUCAGAAAUAAUGGCAAGAUGAUGGUUAUGAUGAAUUGCUUCAUCACAUGGUAUGCGAAUGUUCAUUUCUGUGAAAAUUCGGGGGUCUCUAACAAUUGUCAUAACGAAAACAAGGAGAAUAAAAAGCGAGUUAAAAGGACUCGAUUAGAUUUGAGGAGAAAUGCUGUUGGUUUUAUUAAUGUAGGAUCAUCUAUUAACAAUCGUAUAACGUGGUAUUGUAAAAGGAA